AUUUGAGCACAUACAAGAAACAAUAAUCCUUCGGGAAAACAUUAAAAAAAAGAAGAAAAAAAAGGGGGCAAAACUGCCCAGCCGUGAACUGGGCCUGGAGGACGUGAACUGGACUCAUGGUAAUCUUAUCUCAUGGCCCACCUUAUAUGGAAGGCUCGAUCUCGCUUCCCGUCGUGCCGCCCCUCUCCUCCCGACUUCUCUCCCCGAUGGCGGCGCUUCCCCACGUCCGGCGACAAGCAGCCAGCUGCAGAUGCGCCAUCUCUGCUCCAUCGGCCAUACUCUCCACGGCAUCGGCAACGGCGGCGGUCGGGCGGCGCCAAGCUUCAGCUCGGGCCAGAUCAACGGCGCCCUCGCCGCCGGGCCUCCAUGGAGAGCAGGUAGGCCUCGUCUCUACUCCUAACUUGGUCUGCGCGACGCGCUGAAUCCAUCCCGCAAUUAGUUUUGUCCCACCUCGCUCAUUUUGCGACAGAGCGACCUCUUUUUAAACUCUGAUUGAUUCUAUUGUGUUGCCUCCCCGGAGACACCCACACCGACUAGAUACAGCGGUAAGAUCCCCACUGUGGCCACGGUUUGGCGGACACCUUCUGCUGUAAAAAAAUAAAAAUGGAGCAGUCAUAAGGUCCCCUCCCGUUACGGGGCACGGCAGGCGCCUACCGGUUAGGCUGCAUCCAUCAUACACGUUAAGAUGUCAAAUACGGCAUACAUACAGUCGGGUCUCUCGGUGGAGACAGCGCUAGACAUUAGCGCUUUGCCUUUUUUGAAAUUUUGUAUCAUCAAAUUAUUAUUUUUCUGUUGAUUAAUCACGAUAGCAGCAAUGGAGGCCUGCAUUUGAACCCCCUCUGCGUUUCAAUUCCAAUUUCCUUUGCAUUUGUAUUUGAAUACCAUAUUUACCAGCUUAAAUUAUCUAUGGUAUAGACUACGGAAUGUGUAUAGCAAACUGGAAAAAUUAGAGAUGUGGCGAUAGAGGAGAGCCUAUCAUCAGCAGGUAUGCAAAGAAUUUCCUGUGAAACGAAGUACUGAAAUACUCUUAGCAGAGGUGAUUUUUUUUAAGCCAGAGAUGUGAAUGAUUUGUUCACGCUGCAAGACAAUGGAAAUAAUGAUUGAAGUGAAACAUCAAUCAAAUAUUUUCAGCCAAUUGUCUGAAGAUGUCAAUACCGGGAUUCCAAAUAAAGCAAUAAGAUCGGCUAUGCGCUGCUUUGGCUGCUCCGACAACCUCUGAGACUGAGCUGAGCUCAUCCAAGCAUGGACGAAGUAUCCAACAUUUUGAAGUCCUUUUUGUGCUCAAGGCAUUCAUUUUUCUCAGAGUGCAAUCAAUCAUGAGGACAUAAUGCAUGCUAAUGAUUACCAGAAGCUGCGCCUAGAAGAAGCAGAAGCUUCACAGGCGUCAUAAAGGGAAGCUGAAGCUUUAAGGUUUUAUGCCUAUCAUGGAUACUUAGAAGUUGCAACAAUUUUUCUGUUGCUACAUGGACUGGAUCAUUGGACGAGCUGGUGCAGUGGUGCUGUUGGAGCACCAUUCUGUUUUCAGGUGGGUGCUCUAAAUGGCAAAGCAUGUUCCCUGCUGAACUGUUUUAAGACCUCCUACUAGGAAGAUACUAGUUCAUUUUGAAGUCCUAAUCCGCCAAUCUACACCUUCAUACGACUGCAUGGUGGUUCAGUCAGCUCAAUGAGCAUAACUGAACAUUUCAAGAAGUUUUUUUUUAAGAACAAGAACCACAUUCCGUCCAUGGAUAUGCUGCUGUUUGAGAACCUGUUGGCAACGUUGCAAGGAUGUGCAAAUGAGGUGCUGAAACCUGACUACCACAAAUUUUAGCUGUAGCUGGUCGGAGCAAAGUAAUGUCUAGGUGUAACGCACUGUAAAUUUGAUAGAUGAGACGCGUCCCUAAAUAAUAUCCUUUUUAAGUCUUUGGGUUUGGCUUACUGAUUCUUUUUGUACAAAAGAAACAAAUUUCAAACAGAGCAUGUUGGGUUACUGGUUGCGAACACAGCAAAACAAACAUUUUUCACUGGAAGGCAUUUCUUAUGGAUUUAUGUA